rnacentral:rRNA from 1 species
GAUGAACGCUGGCGGCAGGCCUAACACAUGCAAGUCGGACGGUAACAGGAAGCAGCUUGCUGCUUUGCUGACGAGUGGCGAACGGGUGAGUAAAGUCUGGGUAACUGCCUGAUGGAGGGGGAUAACUACUGGAAACGGUAGCUAAUACCGCAUAACGUCGCAAGACCAAAGUGGGGGACCUCCGGGCCUCAUGCCAUCAGAUGUGCCCAGACGGGAUUAGCUUGUUGGUGGGGUAAAGGCUCACCGAGGCGACGAUCCCUAGCUGGUCUGAGAGGAUGACCAGCCACACUGGAACUGAGACACGGUCCAGACUCCUACGGGAGGCAGCAGUGGGGAAUAUUGCACAAUGGGCGCAAGCCUGAUGCAGCCAUGCCGCGUGUAUGAAGAAGGCCUUCGGGUUGUAAAGUACUUUCAGCGGGGAGGAAGGGGGAAUGGUGAACAGCCAUUGUCAUUGACGUUACCCGCAGAAGAAGCACCGGCUAACUCCGUGCCAGCCGCCGCAGUAA